CAGAUGGAUUUACUCAAUUCGGAUUUAUAUGUGUACUUCACUUAGAAAGUGCUCUCUCUUGUAUUACACCUUUAAUAGAAAAAGAUUUGUAACUCCUUUAUGAUUUAAAUUCAUUCCUAAAAGUGUUUAUCGCUACAUUUGGAGAAAGUGAUCAAAAAAGAAUAGCAGAAACUAAACUCUUAUCUAUACAGCAAGGAUCACAAUCAGCCACUAUAUAUUUUGUUCAAUUCCAAAAAUUUGCUUGUGAUGUGGACUUGAAUGAUAAAGCCCUUAUCAAUCAA
rnacentral:lncRNA from 1 species